rnacentral:rRNA from 1 species
UGAGUACGAGCGGCUACGGCCGCGAAGUGGAUGAUGUCAAGCUUCCAAGAAAAGCCCUAUACCCGUUAAGGCAUGAUGGCCUGUACCCGAAACCGACACAGGUGGGGUCGUAGAGAAUACCGAGGGGCGCGAGGUAACUCUCUCUAAGGAACUCGGCAAAAUGGCCCCGUAACUUCGGGAGAAGGGGUGCCACCGCGAGGUGGUCGCAGUGAAGAGGCCCAGGCGACUGUUUACCAAAAACACAGGUCUCCGCUAAGUCGCAAGACGAUGUAUGGGGGCUGACGCCUGCCCAGUGCCGGAAGGUUAAGGAAGCUGGUCAGCGCAAGCGAAGCUGGCGACUGAAGCCCCGGUGAACGGCGGCCGUAACGAUAACGGUCCUAAGGUAGCGAAAUUCCUUGUCGGGUAAGUUCCGACCCGCACGAAAGGCGUAACGAUCUGGGCGCUGUCUCGGAGAGAGGCUCGGCGAAAUAGAAUUGUCUGUGAAGAUGCGGACUACGUGCACCCGGACAGAAAGACCCUAUGAAGCUUUACUGUAGCUUGGUGUUGUGCUCGGGCUCGGAAUGCGCAGGAUAGGUGGGAGGCUUUGAUCCAUUGCUUGCGGGUGAUGGUGAGCCACUGGUGAGAUACCACUCUUUCCGAGCUAGAGUUCUAACAGCAACCCGUUAUCCGGGUGCUGGACAGUAUCAGGUGGGCAGUUUGACUGGGGCGGUCGCCUCCUAAAAGGUAACGGAGGCGCGCAAAGGUCUGCUCAGGCUGGUUGGAAAUCAGCCGACGAGUGUAAAAGCAGAAGCAGGCUUGACUGUGAGACCUACAAGUCGAACAGGGAGGAAACUCGGCUUUAGUGAUCCGACGGUUCUGCGUGGAAGGGCCGUCGCUCAACGGAUAAAAGUUACUCUAGGAUAACAGGCUGAUCUCCCCCAAGAGUUCACAUCGACGGGGAGGUUUGGCACCUCGAUGUCGGCUCAUCGCAACCUGGGGCUGAAGUCGGUCCCAAGGGUUGGGCUGUUCGCCCAUUAAAGCGGUACGCGAGCUGGGUUCAACGUCGUGAGACAGUUCGGUCCAUAUCCGGUGCACGCGCAGGAAUAUUGAGAGGAUUUCUCCCUAGUACGAGAGGACCGGGAGGAACGCACCUCUGGUGUGCCAGUUAUCGUGCCAACGGUAAACGCUGGGUAGCCAUGUGCGGAGUGGACAACCGCUGAAAGCAUCUAAGUGGGAAGCCCACCUCAAGAUGAGUAUUCCCAUGGCAUAAGCCAGUAAGGUCACGGGAAGAACACCCGUUGAUAGGCUCUACGUGGAAGCGCAGUAAUGUGUGAAGCGGAGGAGUACUAAUAGACCGAGGGCUUGAC